GAUGAACGCUGGCGGCGUGCCUAAUACAUGCAAGUAGAACGUUGAAGCUUGGUGCUUGCACCGAGCGGAUGAGUUGCGAACGGGUGAGUAACGCGUAGGUAACCUGCCUCUUAGCGGGGGAUAACUAUUGGAAACGAUAGCUAAUACCGCAUAAAAGUCGAUAUCGCAUGAUAUUGAUUUGAAAGGUGCAAAUGCAUCACUAAGAGAUGGACCUGCGUUGUAUUAGCUAGUUGGUGAGGUAACGGCUCACCAAGGCGACGAUACAUAGCCGACCUGAGAGGGUGAUCGGCCACACUGGGACUGAGACACGGCCCAGACUCCUACGGGAGGCAGCAGUAGGGAAUCUUCGGCAAUGGGGGCAACCCUGACCGAGCAACGCCGCGUGAGUGAAGAAGGUUUUCGGAUCGUAAAGCUCUGUUGUAAGAGAAGAACGAGUGUGAGAGUGGAAAGUUCACACUGUGACGGUAACUUACCAGAAAGGGACGGCUAACUACGUG
rnacentral:rRNA from 1 species